rnacentral:tRNA from 1 species
CCCUUGAUAGCUCAGCUGGAAGAGCGGUAGACUGUAAUGAGUUAAUCGACACCCUAUCUACAGGUCGCUGGUUCGAUCCCGGCUCGAGGGA